AGGCGGGGUCUCCUGGGAGGGCUGACCCAGAGGGACCAGUCUGGGAGCCCAGCCUUCAGCACUAAAGCUUUUUCUCUUCCUUUCAGAGAAAUUCUUGCUCUCUGAUAAACCCUGAAGCCACAGUGUCUGUUAGGCAGGAAGACUUCAAUGAAUAUAGCAAACAUGGUGAAGACAGGAACAUGAUGAGAAAUUUCUGGUCAUUUUCAGGUUUCCAUCUUCCUACCGGCUUAGCAUGGGGCAGUUUUAACAAUAAGCUUUUCCCUUGGCCCUUCUGAUCUGAUUCACAACCUCAAACAUCUGUCUAACAUAAUCCUGGAAAGGAUCAGGUACAAAAACAUGAAGGCUGCACCAUUGUCAGCCCUGGCAGUAGAAGAGGAAUUUACACAAUUAUGUGAAACAUCCCAGUCCCAUCAAAGGAGUUCUAAGAGAGCCCUUGAAGAAUCUGGAGAAUGUCAGAAGAGAGAUAAAACUCUGAACCAGCUUUGAUAGAUGAG